rnacentral:rRNA from 1 species
ACUAACAAGGAUUCCCCUAGUAACUGCGAGUGAAGCGGGAAAAGCUCAAAUUUAAAAUCUGGCGGUCUUUGGCCGUCCGAGUUGUAAUCUAGAGAAGUAAUGCCCGUGCUGGACCGUGUAUAAGUCUCCUGGGAUGGGGCGUCAUAGAGGGUGAGAAUCCCGUCUUUGACACGGACUACCAGUGCAUUGUGGUAUGCUCUCAAAGAGUCGAGUUGUUUGGGAAUGCAGCUCAAAAUGGGUGGUAAAUUCCAUCUAAAGCUAAAUAUUGGCGAGAGACCGAUAGCGAACAAGUACCGUGAGGGAAAGAUGAAAAGAACUUUGGAAAGAGAGUUAAACAGUACGUGAAAUUGCUGAAAGGGAAACGCUUGAAGUCAGUCGCGUUGGCCGGGGAUCAGCCUUGCUUUUGCAUGGUGUACUUUCUGGUUGACGGGUCAGCAUCAAUUUUGACCGCUGGAAAAAGACCUGGGGAAUGUGGCAGCUUCGGCUGUGUUAUAGCCCCUAGUCGCAUACAGUGGUUGGGAUUGAGGAACUCAGCACGCCGCAAGGCCGGGUUUCGACCACGUUCGUGCUUAGGAUGCUGGCAUAAUGGCUUUAAGCGACCCGUCUUGAAACACGGACCAAGGAGUCUAACAUGCCUGCGAGUAUUUGGGUGGAAAACCCAAGUGCGUAAUGAAAGUGAAAGUUGAGAUCCCUGUCGUGGGGAGCAUCGACGCCCGGACCAGAACUUUUGGGACGGAUCCGCGGUGGAGCAUGUAUGUUGGGACCCGAAAGAUGGUGAACUAUGCCUGAAUAGGGUGAAGCCAGAGGAAACUCUGGUGGAGGCUCGUAGCGAUUCUGACGUGCAAAUCGAUCGUCAAAUUUGGGUAUAGG